rnacentral:lncRNA from 1 species
GGCAGCUGGCUGCCGAGAGCUUGCCCAGCCUGGAGAAGAUGGGAUGGAGAGGGGGACUGUUCCCAGAGGUUGGGAGAGACUGCAGUGGAAGGGCACGAGGAUGCCAUGCAGGAGUGCUGACUGGGCAGCGGGUGACACCCAGCUGGCAGACCCUGCUCAGGGAGCUGGCAGCCCAGCAGGCACUUUGGUGCCCAAUGAGGACACAGCUACGGCCCACCAGGAGCAAUGCGAUGCGACAACGCCACAGCCCUGCUGCUGAGGGAUGCAAUUCGUUACGGUCUGAGGGCUCAUCUUCCAUGGAACUUUGCAGAACAAGCCAAAAUCUGUGUCCAAGUGUGAAUCAAUCUUGAUGCAGGAUGAAUGACGACCGCUGCAGAGAGGAUUUCAGAGGACAGCAGCACGCUGCGUUGUGCGUUGAGGGGAUGGGCUGAGGGUGCGCUGGGGAGGGUCAGGUUGGAGCUGGGGAACAAUCUGUGCUCCAAA